CGCUCGGUCUCCUGUCCGUGCGCUGCCACACCCAGAUCAGCUCCGCACGAUUCGCGCAACCCCAAACCCCCUCGCUCCAAUCUGUGGGCGCUGAAAGAAUCCCCACGAUCCCCUCGACCGAUUCUCGUAUCCACCCCUCAUUUUCCCCCUUGGAACCGAGAGCACGGACCCCGCCGAUCUCCGCCGCCUGAAGCUCCUCCGACGACGAACUGCACUGCGACCAGUAAGUCCUGGUUCUCACAGACCCUCUCAUUGAAUUCACUUAGACCUUACGCACCUCCUUCGCCUCCUUUUAUGCUCAGCACACUGCUGGUUCGAGCACCCCACAUCCACCCAA
rnacentral:lncRNA from 1 species